rnacentral:telomerase_RNA from 1 species
GGAAGGGGGGUUGGUGGGCGUCCUUUCAUCCCAAACCCUAAGAUGGGCGUAGGCGCCGCCCUUUUGCUCCCUGAGCGCUGUUUUUUCUUGCAAAGUUUGAGUAGGCGGAAAAGCCUCGAUCUACCGCCGUCCACCAUCAGGUUUGGAGCAAACAAGGAACGUCAGCCGCGGGCCCGCUCGCGCCUCCCGGGAGCCUGCGGAGGCUCGCCCGCCCUGCCGCCGCGCUCCGCCUAGAGGCCGCGGCCCGCCCGGGCUUCUCCCGCGGCGCCCCCCGCGGCGCCCAGCGCAGCCGCGAAGGGUUAGGCUCUGCGAGCCGCGGAGGCCGGGGGGACCCAGGGGCCUGGCCCAGCAGGAGAAACAGCGCCGCCCCACGCGCCGGGCGCUUCCCUGAGCUGUGGGACGUGCGCCUGGGACUCAGCAUAAACACGG